GCUUAUAAAGUUACUGUGUUAGAUGUAUCAUUUAAUUCUACAGGUAGCAGAUCUCAAGAUGACCCAUAUUCAUAUUUUUAAAUUUUAAUACAUGCAAGUUGCAACCCAUGUAGUGAUGUACUUUGCAGUAUGGACAUGUGAAUAUAGUAAUUGAUCUUUGAGGAUUUCAUAUUUCAACGUCUAUUUUCCAUAGACUGAUCUCAGAUUUGCUCUUGUCUCGGGGGCCAUAACAUAAUAAUGCCAUUGCUUUUUGAUUCACAAGCUAUCUUCACGAGUCGCACAAGGAACUGAGGCUGCUGAAACUGAAAUACUUUUGACUUUCUAUGCUCUCUUGUUGGGAGAUAUAAACACUGAAAUCACCAAAUUGCAUCCACAUUUUGUGUGGUUCUGUGAACUAAAUUGCAUCCACAUAAGAAUAGGAUUGUAAAGAAAUUAUUGACGGAAUCUUGAACAUAGUGUGGGUUGACUCACUAUGUUGUGAGAGACAGCACGGAAAGGCGUGAGAACAUGGUAUUGGGGGCCAGCAUGCAUUAGAGGAUUGCGUUUUUUUUCUCUUAUAAGAAAAAAUAAUUCAUGGCAACCCAUAAC
rnacentral:lncRNA from 1 species